rnacentral:rRNA from 1 species
AAAUGAAUUGACGGGACCCGCACAAGCGGUGGAUGAUGUGGUUUAAUUCGAUGCAACGACGAAAACCUUACCCACCUUUGACAUGGCAGGAAUCCCGAAGAGAUUUGGGAGUACUCGAAAGAGAACCUGCACACAGGUGCUGCAUGGCUGUCGUCAGCUCGUGUCGUGAGAUGUUGGGUUAAGUCCCGCAACGAGCGCAACCCUUGCCAUUAGUUGCUACGAAAGGGCACUCUAAUGGGACUGCCGGUGACAAACCGGAGGAAGGUGGGGAUGACGUCAAGUCCUCAUGGCCCUUAUAGGUGGGGCUACACACGUCAUACAAUGGCCGGUACAGAGGGUAGCCAACCCGCGAGGGGGAGCCAAUCCCACAAAGCCGGUCGUAGUCCGGAUCGCAGUCUGCAACUCGACUGCGUGAAGUCGGAAUCGCUAGUAAUCGCGGAUCAGCAUGUCGCGGUGAAUACGUUCCCGGGUCUU